GUCGUGAGAUGUUGGGUUAAGUCCCGCAACGAGCGCAACCCUUAUUCCAUGUUGCCAGCGGGUUAUGCCGGGGACUCAUGGGAGACUGCCGGGGUCAACUCGGAGGAAGGUGGGGAUGACGUCAAGUCAUCAUGCCCCUUAUGUCCAGGGCUUCACGCAUGCUACAAUGGCCGGUACAAAGGGCUGCGAUACCGCAAGGUGGAGCGAAUCCCAAAAAGCCGGUCUCAGUUCGGAUCGGGGUCUGCAACUCGACCCCGUGAAGUCGGAGUCGCUAGUAAUCGCAGAUCAGCAACGCUGCGGUGAAUACGUUCCCGGGCCUUGUACACACCGCCCGUCACGUCACGAAAGUCGGCAACACCCGAAGCCGGUGGCCUAACCCGUAAGGGAGGGAGCCGUCGAAGGUGGGGCUGGCGAUUGGGACGAAGUCGUAACAAGGUAGCCGUACCGGAAGGUGCGGCUGGAUCACCUCCUUUCUAAGGAGCACCUGGCCGCGAAAGUGGUCCAGAAGCCCCGGCCGGCCGAAUGUGUCGGUGGGGUGCUCAUAUGGCGGAGACACUGGUGAGAGUCGGGUCGGCAACGGCCACAGGCCUUCGUACUGCUCUGCAUGAUUUUCGGUCUUCGGGUCGGGGUUGUGUGUGGGUGUGGAUCGGGUUUGGUGGUGCGGCUGGUUCGGUGUCCAGACAUCCUGUUGGGUCCUGAGGGAACAAGCGCGGCGGCUUUCGGGUCGUUCGGGGUUGUUGCUUCUGGUCCAGUCUGACCUUCGGUCAUCAAACUGCCUCGCACAUGCUGGUUUCGGUGUUGUGGGGUGUGUGGUGGCGGUGGGGGGUUGGGGCUGGCCGUUGUUUGAGAAUUGCACAGUGGACGCGAGCAUCUUUGUGGUCAAGUUGUCAAGGGCAAACGGUGAAUGCCUUGGCACCAGGAGCCGAUGAAGGACGUGGGAGGCCGCGAUAGGCCUGGGGGAGCUGUCAACCUAGCUGUGAUCCCAGGGUGU
rnacentral:sRNA from 1 species